AGAUUGUUCUAUUAAUCUGUCCGGGGACGUGCAGUGGUGGCGGCGUAGGUACCGACGCGCCAUCCGGCAAGAAAACGGGACGUACGCGGGUCGACGACCUGAUGU
rnacentral:lncRNA from 1 species